rnacentral:rRNA from 1 species
GACGAACGCUGGCGGCGUGCUUAACACAUGCAAGUCGUACGGAAAGGCCCUGCUUUUGUGGGGUGCUCGAGUGGCGAACGUGUGAGUAACACGUGAGUAACCUGCCCUUGACUUUGUGAUAACUUCAGGAAACUGGGGCUAAUACCGGAUAGGAGCUCCUGCUGCAUGGUGGGGGUUGGAAAGUUUCGGCGGUUGGGGAUGGACUCGCGGCUUGUCAGCUUGUUGGUGGGGUAGUGGCUUACCAAGGCUUUGACGGGUAGCCGGCCUGAGAGGGUGACCGGCCACAUUGGGACUGAGAUACGGACCAGACUCCUACGGGAGGCAGCAGGGGGGAAUAUUGCACAAUGGGCGGAAGCCUGAUGCAGCAACGCCGCGUGCGGGAUGACGGCCUUCGGGUUGUAAACCGCUUUCGCCUGUGACGAAGCGUGAGUGACGGUAAUGGGUAAAGAAGCACCGGCUAACUACGUG